AGUGAACGCUGGCGGUAGGCCUAACACAUGCAAGUCGAACGGCAGCACAGUAAGAGCUUGCUCUUACGGGUGGCGAGUGGCGGACGGGUGAGGAAUACAUCGGAAUCUACUUUUUCGUGGGGGAUAACGUAGGGAAACUUGCGCUAAUACCGCAUACGACCUACGGGUGAAAGCAGUGGAUCUUCGCACCUUGCGCGAUUGAAUGAGCCGAUGUCGGAUUAGCUAGUUGGCGGGGUAAAGGCCCAGCAAGGCGACGAUCCGUAGCUGGUCUGAGAGGAUGAUCGGCCACACUGGAACUGAGACACGGUCCAGACUCCUACGGGAGGCAGCAGUGGGGAAUAUUGGACAAUGGGCGCAAGCCUGAUCCAGCCAUACCGCGUGGGUGAAGAAGGCCUUCGGGUUGUAAAGCCCUUUUGUUGGGAAAGAAAAGCAGCAGGUUAAUACCCCGCUGUUCUGACGGUACCCAAAGAAUAAGCACCGGCUAACUUCGUG
rnacentral:rRNA from 1 species